rnacentral:rRNA from 1 species
AGAUUGAACGCUGGCGGCAUGCCUUACACAUGCAAGUCGAACGGCAGCACGGGAGCAAUCCUGGUGGCGAGUGGCGAACGGGUGAGUAAUACAUCGGAACGUGUCCUGGAGUGGGGGAUAGCCCGGCGAAAGCCGGAUUAAUACCGCAUACGCUCUGUGGAGGAAAGGGGGGGAUCUUAGGACCUCUCGCUCAAGGGGCGGCCGAUGGCAGAUUAGCUAGUUGGUGGGGUAAAGGCCUACCAAGGCGACGAUCUGUAGC